rnacentral:rRNA from 1 species
CGGGACGGGUGAGUAAUGUCUGGGAAACUGCCUGAUGGAGGGGGAUAACUACUGGAACGGUAGCUAAUACCGCAUAAUGUCUACGGACCAAAGCGGGGGACCUCCGGGCCUCGCGCCAUCAGAUGAACCCAUAUGGGAUUAGCUAGUAGGUGGGGUAACGGCUCACCUAGGCGACGAUCCCUAGCUGGUCUGAGAGGAUGACCAGCCACACUGGAACUGAGACACGGUCCAG